GACGAACGCUGGCGGCGUGCUUAACACAUGCAAGUCGAACGGAAAGGCCCUGCUUUUGUGGGGUGCUCGAGUGGCGAACGGGUGAGUAACACGUGAGUAACCUGCCCUUGACUUUGGGAUAACUUCAGGAAACUGGGGCUAAUACCGGAUAGGAGCUCCUGCUGCAUGGUGGGGGUUGGAAAGUUUCGGCGGUUGGGGAUGGACUCGCGGCUUAUCAGCUUGUUGGUGGGGUAGUUGCUUACCAAGGCUUUGACGGGUAGCCGGCCUGAGAGGGUGACCGGCCACAUUGGGACUGAGAGUCGGCCCAGACUCCUACGGGAGGCAGCAGUGGUGAAUAUUGCACGAUGGGCGGAAGCCUGAUGCAGCAACGCCGCGUGCGGGAUGACGGCCUUCUGGUUGUAACCCGCUUUCGCCUGUGACGAAGCGUGAGUGACGGUAAUGGGUAAAGAAGCACCGGCUAACUACGUG
rnacentral:rRNA from 1 species